GGGGUUGUGGCUCAGUGGUAGAGUGCUUGCCUAGCACAUGUAAGGACCUGGGUUCGAUCCUCAGCACCACA
rnacentral:tRNA from 1 species